GGCUCAGGAUAAACGCUAGCGGUGUGCAUUAUGCAUGCAAGUCGAGCGGUAUAUCGAAAGAUAUGCAGCGGCAAACGGCUGAGUAACACGUAAGUAAUCCAUCCCAAAGUGGGGAAUAAUCCGCCGAAAGGUGGACUAAUACCGCAUGUGGUAGUGGAAUUAGUUUUUCAUUACUAAAGCUCACGGGCGCUUAGGGAAGAGCUUGCGUCCUAUCAGGUAGUUGGUGGGGUAAUGGCCUACCAAGCCUUCGACGGGUAGCUGGUCUGAGAGGAUGUCCAGCCAGACGGGGACUGAGACACGGCCCCGACUCCUACGGGAGGCAGCAGCAGGGAAUUUUGCGCAAUGGGCGAAAGCCUGACGCAGCAACACCGCGUGAGGGAAGACAGCCUUCGGGUCGUAAACCUCUUUUAUCAGGGAAGAAUAAUGACGGUACCUGAUGAAUAAGUCACGGCUAACUACGUGCCAGCAGCUGCGGUAAUACGUAGGUGGCGAGCGUUAUCCGGAUUCAUUGGGCGUAAAGAGCGCGUAGGUGGUCCUUCAAGUCAGAUGUUAAAUCUCUCGGCUUAACUGGGAGCUGUCAUCUGAUACUGCUGGACUUGAGGGUGGUAGAGGGAGGUGGAAUUCCCGGUGUAGUGGUGAAAUGCGUAGAUAUCGGGAGGAACACCAGUGGCGAAAGCGGCCUCCUAGGCCAUUCCUGACACUGAGGCGCGAAAGCGUGGGGAGCGAACAGGAUCAGAUACCCUGGUAGUCCACGCCCUAAACUGUGGAAACUAGGUACAGGGAGUAUCGACCCUUCCUGCGCCGUAGCUAACGCGUUAAGUUUCCCGCCUGGGGACUACGGUCGCAAGACUAAA
rnacentral:rRNA from 1 species